rnacentral:rRNA from 1 species
UACAGAGGUCUCGAGCGUUAGGCGGAAUCACUGGGCUUAAAGCGUGUGUAGGCGGAUCGUUAAGUGCCUUGUGAAAUCCCACGGCUCAACCGUGGAACUGCUUGGCAUACUGGCGGUCUUGAGCAACCUAGGGGCGAGCGGAACAAAUGGUGGAGCGGGUGAAAUGCGUAGAUAUCAUUUGGAACGCCAAUGGUGAAAACAGCUCGCUGGGGGGUUUGCUGAACGCUGAGACGUACGAAAGCCAGGGGAGCAAAGCGGGGAUUAAGC